UUAUUUAGAUGGGUAUUCUCUAACAAGAUCAGAUUCCUGAUGGAGUGUGAGUGCAGUACCCUAGAGGGUAGGGACCAGGUUAGCUCCAACAUUAUCAGCAGACUCCUAGGGAUGAACCCGAGCAGGGACGAGGACUGGAACACAUAUAUCCCAACCCUCGUCUCUAUACAACAGUGCGUUCUUCCGUUGAAUAGUCAGCGGGAGGUUCUUAAAAAACUUCUCUCUCUAUUCUUUAGCUUACACACACACAAAACCUCGUUUAUCUACAGUCUAACCGUACUCCAAGACCAACUUAGAAAGGAGAAAACAUUCGUCCUUCACUGGGUGGCGGAGAAGAUUUGUUCUCGGAGUGAGGAACCUGAAGUCAUUCUCAUGUAUCUUGAUUUACUUGUACCUGUUGAGGAGAAGGAUAGUUUUGUGAUCCUGAACCUUCAUCAUAUUCUCCCGACCGUGUUCUAUCUAUCAGCCAUUAAGGAUUUGAAGGCUCCGUUGGUAACCCUGGCCGGAUUGAAGCGGAUGAGACCUAAAGCUCUGAUAAAUGAAUAUUUUCCCAAGAUGUACGCCCAUCUUGUGAUCAACAGUGAUAAGGAUACGUUAGCAGCGUGUAUGCGGUAUAUGAAGAAAGAGACGGGGAUAGAACUCAAGGUUCUGAUUACAUCAUAUAGGCUCAAGGUUAUAGAAGAACUUCUCUGUGUUCUCAGCUAUGAUAGAGAGAAGGUGACACAUGCCCUAAGGGACUGUGCUCGAGCAGACGAGAUGUUUAAGAAUAAAGGGACUGGAGAUCAAAAUGUCGUAAAGGAAUAUCUUUCUCACAAUCUAAUGGCUGCUCUCUCCUUUUUCCUUACUAAACUUAACAACGAAGGAACGUCUGUAAAGACGAAACUAGAUAUACUCGCGUCUCUCUCCGAGCUCUGUAGUUUCCUUGGUUCAGAUCAUCUCUCCCCUGUUAAACACUCGCUCCUGGCUUGUCUUAAGAUCUCUGGAAACCUGUCCAGAAAAUCAGCUUCAUUUAACACUGUCUCCGUAUCUCUGUGGAACGCAUUUGUCCGGAAUAUUGAGCUUAAUGACCUUGAAGUAAUUCUUCCGCAGGUGUUGGUUGGGUUGGCUUAUCAUGUAACCCUAGAUAAAGAGAAGAUUGUUCCUCUCUUCCGGUAUCUUCUUGUCGAGAACAGGAAGAAGUUUAAGGAUCUUUCGUCUUAUAUGGUUCUACUCCCGGAUAUAGCGGACCUAAAGGAGAUCGUGGUUCAAGUUCGAGGUGCGAAGGUUGAAUUCAGAAAUAUCCUUAUUGGUAUUCUCAAGAAUAUAGAUCAUGAAGCUGUUGAGGUCAGACAUCAGACUCUUAACACACUGAGAAACCUUCUAGACGUGAAUAUGGGAGCUCUUCAAGGGUUAUUGCUCCGGACUGAUCAAACUGACUCCGUUGUGUCAGAGUUGGUUCAGAAACUGAUGAACGGAAUGUCUUCCCAUGAACCAGACGAAGAUCUAAGAUAUGUCUCUGCAGAUUGUAUAGGACGGAUUGGUGCUCUGGAUCCUGGUAGGAUUGAGAUUGCUCCGGAUACUUCUGCAAACUCGGUUGAGAUUCAGAAUUUUCUGUUGGACGUGAACAGUGCGGACUUUUGUGUGAGAUUGAUAAUGGAGCUGGUUCGAGCAUGCCAGAGCUCAAGAGAACCUUUUAUAGUGGACAACUGCAUGUUUUCUAUCCAGCAAGUUCUCAAGAUAUAUCAGAUCAAUGGAAAAGAGAAAAAUAUGUUUGCUGCGGACGUGAUGAAACGUCUCUCUGACUCUGCCCGAGAGAUUGUUUCUCCUUUAUUAAGAUCCAUGUAUGUUCAUACCCCGAAACCUCAACAAAAAAUAAACACUCCGGUCUAUGGUUCAACCUUGGGGAGAAACUACAAAGAUUGGUUGGUUAACUUAACUCAGUGUCUGAUAGAACAUAUUUAUGAUCCGAAGAUCAAGGAUAUUUUCUCCUCCUGCCUCCCAGCACUGAAGAAAGAUGUGCGAACUGCGGAGUUUCUCCUGCCUCAUAUUGUAGUGUCGGUGAUCUGUGGAGCUGGUGAUGAGGAGAUAGAGAUCCUCGUCAAGGAGGUGAACGCUAUCCUUCCCGAAGACGGAGAUGCUUCCCAAGACGAUGGACAGGACAGGUUUGUGGAAGAAAACACGGAUAAGCUUGUUGCUCAAACUCUGUUUAGUAUCCUUGAUCAUUUACGAUCAUGGUUGAGAGCCAAGUACAACUUGUCCAUCAGUUCCCUUGGUAAAUCUGAUAAUCAGCUGAGAACUGAAGAUAUCCUGAAGGCUACAAAGGAUAAACAUUAUCAAGCAGUUUUAUCCUUCAUAAACCGAAUACCUGACGAAGGUUUAGCAAACCUAUCCUUCUAUACUGGAGCAUAUCAUAGAUCUGCUUUCUAUCUAGACCGUACCUUUGUGAACCAGGAGUACAGCGAGCACCAGCUCAACGCCAUGCAGAAGCUGUUCGCCUGCUUGCAAGAGCCUGAUCUCGUAGUUGGAGUUGCUGCUGUUCGUCGUGAAGAGCCAACCUUGGAGAAUCAGAUUCUGUACAACCAGGCAAUUGGAAACUUUCAGGAUGCGCUUUGCUGCUUUGAACGUCAGCGUAGAGCUGAGAACGUUGGUUAUACUGGUUUAAUUCAGUGUUAUCUGUAUACUGAUAAACCCUCAGCAGCUGCUAGUCUUGCUGCAGGACUCAUUGCCAAGGAUAAGAGUUUAUCCAAGUACCUUGCUCCGUUUCAGGCGGAGGCGGCCUGGCAGCUGGGGGAGUGGCAAGAGCUCAACGAGUUUACAAAGGAGGAGUUUUCUCCGGAGCCUUCCUGGGAGAUGAACCUGAGUAAGGUUAUACUAUCCGCAUACAAGAUGGAUAAAUUUCUCUUUCUCCAGGAGUCUCACUCAGCUAGGAAGGAUAUUCUGAAAACACUCUCUGCAGUUAGCUCGGAGCAAAGUGCUUACAAGAAAAGUUAUCUUUACAUUGGACGGUUAGGAAUGCUUCAGGAGGUUCAGAAUAUUACGGAAACCCUUCUCCUGAAUAAACCUGGAGAUAACGAGGUUCUGUACUCCAGGUUGUGCUCUCUACUGGAGGAUCUAGAGGCCAGGUUGAACUAUACUCAGGUCUCAUGGACCAAUAUGGAGCCAAUUCUUAGACUGAGACGUGGAAUAUUUAAUGCAGUCUAUAGCAGAUGUAAGCCAACAGAAGCCAUGGUACGGGAAAGGGUUAAGACUGAGAUUGGUGAAUGCUGGCUUCGCUCUGCCAAGAUAGCAAGGAAGGCUGGGCAGCUGCAGGAGUCCUACAGUUUUCUACUAGAGGCGGAGAAGUAUGAAAAUCCGCAAAUAUUUUUAGAAUCUGCUAAACUCAAGUGGGAGAGAGGAAAUAAGACUGAAGCCAUCUCUGCGCUAAAGAAAGGACUAAAUGAUGCAUUUCCUGAUGUUAUGAAUGCGCUGGAAAAGCUUUCUUCCAAAGAUGACAAAGACCUUCAAGUAUCCCUGACAAAUCUUGACAGAAAAGGACCGGGGUUACGGGAAUUGUGUGCAAGUGGGAAGCUUCUCCUGGCUAGAUAUGUUGAGGAAGCAGCAAGUGUUGGUCAGGAAGCUGUUCGAACCCACUUUGAGCAUGCUAAAGAAAUCGUUAGAACAAGCGAUGAAAUAUUUUACUAUCAAGCCAAGUUUAUGGACAAGAAGUCUAUGAAGAUGACGUCAGAGCAGAUGAUAAAUCAAUCCGAAAUCGUUACACAUGCAGCUCUAACCUACUUGCGAUCACUUCGUUACGGACCGACUUUUCUUGAUGAAUGUAUGCCGCGCCUUCUUUCAAUAUGGCUCGACUUCGCGGCUACCAUUCAGGAAGCGAUAGUAGCGAAGAGCAGGGAUACUUUAACCAUAGCAGUGGUUGAUCAUGCGACUAAACAGCUAAGCAAGCUGAACAGAACGAUCCAGAACACUAUUAGUAAAAUGCCAACAUAUUAUUUUCUCACUGCAUUUCCACAAAUUGUAUCUCGUAUCUGCCAUUCAAACAAUGAAACCUACAACGUUCUCAAGUCUUUGAUGGUAAAAGUUGUUCUGGCAUUUCCCCAGCAGGCAUUUUGGCACUUGGUUUGUGUGAGUAAAAACAGAGAUCCGACCCGUAAGUCUAGGUGUCAGGAAGUGUUUGCCGAGGUCAAAAGGGUUCGGAGCGAUCUCUCGAAGUUUUUGACCGACGCCAUAUUGUUCUCAGAGAAGAUUGAUGAUUUAUGUGAUGUAAAGACUACUCAAGGUGUUUUGCACACAUCCUGUCGUGAACUUGUCCCGUCCCUACCUGCACUCUUCCGGAGUAAAGGAUUCUCAUCCAUUAUUCUUCCGAUAGAACGGAACAUGGUUGUAACUUCUCCCACUUCUGAAGCGGACCUGGAGACGCACAACCCGUACCCGGACGGUGUGGUCACCAUUGUUGGAAUAGAAGACGAUAUUCAGGUCAUGAUUUCCCUCAUCAAACCCAAGAAGAUCACACUCCGGGGUUCUGACGGGAAACGUUACUCCUUCCUGGCCAAACCGAAGGACGAUCUGAGACGCGACUGCAGGCUCAUGGACUUUGGAAACCUGUUAAACAGAAUGUUUAGAAAGGAACCAGAGACAAGGAAACGAGGAUUAAAGAUGAGAACAUACAUGGUUGUCCCAACAAAUGAAACCAACGGAUUGAUUGAAUGGGUGAGCAAUCUAAAGGGAUUAAGACAUAUCAUUAUAACCCUGCUGAAAGAGCGAGGAGUGUCGGUCCAGAAAAUUCAAAGACAACAUAUGCCGAAGAAUGAGGAUAGUGUAGAGAAGAAGAUCGAGGGACUGAGGAAGUGCAUUAAUGACAUGAAGGGAAACCAUAGUAGUCCUUCAGUGUUCAGAGAAUGGUUUGUUAGAACCUUCCCGGAUCCCCAGGCGUGGUUUGCGGCUCGGCUUGCCUUCACCCGGACAACGGCCGUUAUGUCUAUGAUGGGAUACAUCCUGGGUCUGGGAGAUAGACAUCUGGAGAACAUAAACGUGGAUACAACUACAGGACAGACGUUUCAUGUCGACAUGAAUAGCUUGUUUAAUAUCAGCGAGACAUACGCGGUUCCAGAGAUAGUUCCUUUCCGACUAACCAACAAUAUAGUGGAUGGAUUUGGACCCUUGGGAACAGAAGGACCUUUCAGAAUAUCAUGCGAGGUUACCCUGAGAAUGAUGAGAGACCAGAAGGAUCUUCUAAUGUCUGUUCUUCGUCCUUUUAUAUUCGAUCCUCUAGUCGAUUGGACCAUAAGAGAUAAGAGUAAGAAGAAGGAGGUUGGUGGUGAUGAUGGGAAUAAGCCCGGUAAGGAAGCUCUAGCCCGAGUCCAGGAUAGACUGGACGGAUGUGUAACUACGGAUAGGAAGCGGAAAGGGAACCUGAACCCCCCGUUAAGCGUAGAAGGUCAGGUCGAUCACGUGAUCAGAGAAGCUUCCGCAGAAAAGAACCUUGCAGUAAUGUACUGGGGAUGGAAUCCCUUCCUUUAAUCCCUCGCGAAGUCACGAGUAGUGCGAAAACGAACUGCUAGGGUAGGGAGGGAGUGCAGAUAGAUUAGUACAAAAAUUCCAAGUCAAAAUGUAAAUUUAAUAGUUAUUGCAGCUAAAAAUACGCUUUUAAGAAUGUGUACUUGAACAUCUUACCAAUUUUUAUACUUUUGUACGGAACAUAACCUUAUGUGAUCAUUAGUGAUAUCAGUAUUAACGUAAAGCAACAUUGAUGCGGGAAAAAAAUAAUGAAUAAAAAAUGACAUUUUGAAUA
rnacentral:misc_RNA from 1 species